GAUGAACGCUGGCGGCGUGCCUAAUACAUGCAAGUCGAGCGAACAGACGAGGAGCUUGCUCCUCUGACGUUAGCGGCGGACGGGUGAGUAACACGUGGAUAACCUACCUAUAAGACUGGGAUAACUUCGGGAAACCGGAGCUAAUACCGGAUAAUAUAUUGAACCGCAUGGUUCAAUAGUGAAAGACGGUUUUGCUGUCACUUAUAGAUGGAUCCGCGCCGCAUUAGCUAGUUGGUAAGGUAACGGCUUACCAAGGCGACGAUGCGUAGCCGACCUGAGAGGGUGAUCGGCCACACUGGAACUGAGACACGGUCCAGACUCCUACGGGAGGCAGCAGUAGGGAAUCUUCCGCAAUGGGCGAAAGCCUGACGGAGCAACGUCGCGUGAGUGAUGAAGGUCUUCGGAUCGUAAAACUCUGUUAUUAGGGAAGAACAAAUGUGUAAGUAACUAUGCACGUCUUGACGGUACCUAAUCAGAAAGCCACGGCUAACUACGU
rnacentral:rRNA from 1 species